AUGGGCGCAUGUUCCAAAGUGGCGAGUUGGUCACCAAAACCGACUGUGAUAGGUUCGAUUCCUAUCGCCUAUG
rnacentral:tRNA from 1 species